CUCAAAAACUUGUCUCAGUUCGGAUUGUAGGCUGAAACUCGCCUACAUGAGGCUGGAGUUGCUAGUAAUCGCGAAUCAGCAUGUCGCGGUGAAUACGUUCCCGGGCCUUGUACACACCGCCCGUCACACCAUGAGAGUUGGCAAUACCCAACGUACGUGAUCUAACCCGCAAGGGAGGAAGCGUCCUAAGGUAGGGUCAGCGAUUGGGGUGAAGUCGUAACAAGGUAUC
rnacentral:rRNA from 1 species